rnacentral:rRNA from 1 species
AGUAACGCGUGAGCAACCUGGCCUUCAGAGUGGAACAACGUCUGGAAACGGGCGCUAAUACCGCAUAAUACAAGAGAGUCGCAUGGCUUUUUUGUCAAAGGAGAAAUCCGCUGAAGGAUGGGCUCGCGUCCGAUUAGCUAGAUGGGGUGGUAACGGCACACCAUGGCGACGAUCGGUAGCCGAACUGAGAGGUUGAUCGGCCGCAUUGGGACUGAGACACGGCCCAGACUCCUACGGGAGGCAGCAUG